rnacentral:rRNA from 1 species
GACGAACGCUGGCGGAGUGAUUAACACAUGCAAGUCGAACGAAGUGGCGAACGGGUGAGUAACGCGUAAUAAACCUGCCCUUCAGAGGGGGACAACAGUUGGAAACGACUGCUAAUACCGCAUACUUCAGGAGGGGAAUGCGUCUGAUUAGCUAGGUGGAGGGGUAACGGCCCACCAAGGAGAUGAUCAGCAGCCGGUCCGAGAGGAUGAACGGCCACAGUGGGACUGAGACACGGCCCAGACUCCUACGGGAGGCAGCAGUGGGGAAUCGUCCGAAAUGGACGAAAGUCUGACGGAGCAACGCCGCGUGAGUGAUGACGGCCUUCGGGUUGUAAAGCUCUGUUAAUCGGGACGCGGGACCGGAAUAGAAAGCCACGGCUAACUACGUGCCAGCAGCCGCGGUAAUAC